CGAGAGGGAAGUUGGGUUGGUAGGUGCUUCCCCCCCAGAAGUCGCUGGCAUUCAGCCGAAGGCCUGUGGUCGCCGGUGGUUUGGUUGCUAAUCAUGCCAGGCUGCCGUCCGGCUGUGGGCUGAGGUGCAUUUGCGGGCGUAUGCGCUGAGACUGGUGGGGUCGCUGCUGGACCCGUGUUCUAGAGGCCGCCCUCUGGGCGGAACCUGGUCGCGGUUACGGCUGUUGGCCCUGCUUGUGUGCUUUUGUGCGGCGGAUCUUGGCUGCGCUGCUGGCUUCGGGCGGUGGUAUCGCAUGCGAUGCCUAGCUUGGGGUCUGUGGUUCGGUCCGGGUUCCCGCGCAGCAUCUCGGUGUAGAAGCUGGUCAUCUCUCCGACCCGUCUUGAAACACGGACCAAGGAGUUUAGCGUAUGCGCGAGUCAUUGGGUGCGAAAACCCAUAGGCGCAAUGAAAGUGAAGGCUCGGUUGCCGGGCUGACAUGCGAGUGCUAGGCUUCGGCUGUGGCACGCAGCAUGGUCCCGUUCCGGUCGCUUGCGACGGAGCGGAGACAGAGCGUAUGCGCUGAGACCCGAAAGAUGGUGAACUAUUCCUGAGCAGGACGAAGCCAGAGGAAACUCUGGUGGAAGUCCGAAGCGAUUCUGACGUGCAAAUCGAUCGUCUGACUUGGGUAUAGGGGCGAAAGACUAAUCGAACCAUCUAGUAGCUGGUUCCUUCCGAA
rnacentral:rRNA from 1 species